rnacentral:rRNA from 1 species
CCUACGGGUGACAGCAGUCGAGAAUCAUUCACAAUGGGGGAAACCCUGAUGGUGCGACGCCGCGUGGGGGAAUGAAGUUCUUCGGAUUGUAAACCCCUGUUAUGUGGGAGCAAAUUAAAAAGAUAGUACCACAAGAGGAAGACACGGCUAACUCUGUUCCAGCAGCCGCGGUAAUACAGAGGUCUCAAGCGUUGUUCGGAAUCACUGGGCGUAAAGCGUGCGUAGGGUGUUUCGUAAGUCGUGUGUGAAAGGCGCGGGCUCAACCCGCGGACGGCACAUGAGACUGCGAGACUAGAGUAAGGGAGAGGGAGGCGGAAUUCGCGGUGUAGCAGUGAAAUGCGUAGAUAUCGAGAAGAACACUCGUGGCGAAGGCAGGUUCCUGGACAUUAACUGACGCUGAGGCACGAAGGCCAGGGGAGCGAAAGGGAUUAGAUACCCGUGUAGUC